AGAGUUUGAUCCUCGGCUCAGGAUGAACGCUGGCGGCGUGCCUAAUACAUGCAAGUCGAACGCACUGUGGUUCAACUGAUUUGAAGAGCUUGCUCUGAUAUGACGAUGAACAUUGCAGUGAGUGGCGAACGGGUGAGUAACACGUGGGAAACCUACCUCUUAGCGGGGGAUAACAUCUGGAAACAGAUGCUAAUACCGCAUAACACUAGCAACCGCAUGGUUGCUACUUGAAAGAUGGUUCUGCUAUCACUAAGAGAUGGUCCCGCGGCGCAUUAGUUAGUUGGUGAGGUAAUGGCUCACCAAGACGAUGAUGCGUAGCCGAGUUGAGAGACUGAUCGGCCACAAUGGGACUGAGACACGGCCCAUACUCCUACGGGAGGCAGCAGUAGGGAAUCUUCCACAAUGGACGAAAGUCUGAUGGAGCAACGCCGCGUGUGUGAUGAAGGGUUUCGGCUCGUAAAACACUGUUGUAAGAGAAGAAUAGCAUCAAGAGUAACUGCUUGGUGUGUGACGGUAUCUUACCAGAAAGGAACGGCUAAAUACGUGCCAGCAGCCGCGGUAAUACGUAUGUUCCAAGCGUUAUCCGGAUUUAUUGGGCGUAAAGCGAGCGCAGACGGUUUUUUAAGUCCGAAGUGAAAGCCCACAGCUUAACUGUGGAAGUGCUUUGGAAACUGGAUGACUUGAGUGCAGUAGAGGAGAGUGGAAUUCCAUGUGUAGCGGUGAAAUGCGUAGAUAUAUGGAGGAACACCAGUGGCGAACGCGCUCUCUGGACUGUAACUGACGUGAAGCUCCGAAAGUGUGGGUAGCAAACAUGAUUAGAUACCCUGGUAGUCCACACC
rnacentral:rRNA from 1 species